GGAUUACUCAGGAACAGGUUAAAGUGGAUUACUCAGGAACAGGUUAAUGUUAGUGGAUUACUCAGGAACAGGUUAAAGUGGAUUACUCAGGAACAGGUUAAUGUGGAUUACUCAGGAACAGGUUAAUGUGGAUUACUCAGGAACAGGUUAAAGUGGAUUACUCAGGAACAGGUUAAUGUGGAUUACUCAGGAACAGGUUAAAGUGGAUUACUCAGGAACAGGUUAAUGUUAGUGGAUUACUCAGGAACAGGUUAAUGUUAGUGGAUUACUCAGGAACAGGUUAAUGUGGAUUACUCAGG